UAGAACUGUCCUGUGAUAAACCAUUCAAAAG
rnacentral:piRNA from 1 species